rnacentral:rRNA from 1 species
AGCGAACGCUGGCGGCAGGCUUAACACAUGCAAGUCGAGCGGGCGUAGCAAUACGUCAGCGGCAGACGGGUGAGUAACGCGUGGGAACAUACCUUUUGGUUCGGAACAACACAGGGAACUUGUGCUAAUACCGGAUAAGCCCUUACGGGGAAAGAUUUAUCGCCGAAAGAUUGGCCCGCGUCUGAUUAGCUAGUUGGUGAGGUAAUGGCUCACCAAGGCGACGAUCAGUAGCUGGUCUGAGAGGAUGAUCAGCCACAUU